rnacentral:lncRNA from 1 species
ACUUUCAGAGAGCGCGUGCCUCGUUCGGCCUCCUACGCAGAAACCCACAGCAGAAUGUGCGCGGCGAACACGUGGCCGCGCUGCCGUCGCUUCCCCCGAGUCCUUCCGCGCACAGGAGGGUCCUUGACCAAGCACAGGAGGGUCCCAUCGCACACAGGACGGCUCCUCUGCUGGGCUCCUUCGAGAUGCUCAGGGAUCUCAAGACGGAGCAUGUUGGAGAAGCAAGUGGUCAUCACAAGGCCCCUGGGUCCACGGAGGAACCUCUGCAGGAGAUUCUGAAAAUACACUCUCACGUACUCAACUGACUGGAUGAGAAUGCAUCUGGCCGGAAGAAGCAGAAGCAAACCCACAGAAAGAAAUCCCCACAAACUGUCUUCCAGAAUGACCACGCCGCAGCCUCCCAAGGUCGCCUGAUCCCCUCCGACUCUGUAACAAGCACGCUCGCUCCACAGGGAGCCCAGGGCCCUUUCCGGAAGAGACGGGGCCCCAGACAAAAAGUUAAAUGGAUUUAAAUGUAAGCAGGUCUAAAAAGAAAGCAGAGUUUCCUUUUAGAAGCUUAAGAAAACAAUUAGAAAUAAAAGGAGGCCAGAAAGCACAGUUAAUGAAGGGGCCCGAGAAGCAAAGGCGAUGGGGAAAUUCACCCGCUUCACGAACACUUUUGCAAGGGCGAGACGGAGGGACCGCACCCAGAGCUCUUCUGACCUUGCCCUUGACUCACUGGGCUCUCACAGCUCACAUCCGCCCUCCGGGUGAGCUUAAAGUCGCCGCUCCAUGGAAAUGUUUGUUCUGCCUCUGGAGCAGAAGACACCGCUUCUGGUGGCCCUGGUGGCCCUGUCUCUGGGGCUCUGAGGUCCUGCCAGGCCAGGAGGAGGCUCUCUUCUUGUCUCACGAGCAGGAUUCGUCCAUGUGUUCUACUUUGGUCUUCACGCCGGAGCGAAUUCCAUCGGAGAACAUGUGUCUGUCUCCUUCCGUUGGCCGUCGGCCUGCUGCGCCCGGUCCCAGGCCUUCAGCAGCGGCGCCCCCAGCAUCCCUGUUGGCCCCAGCCCAGGAGGCAGUGAGGUGGCGUCUCCAGGGCUUGGUUCAGGGCACAGAGCUGGCAACCCGUCAUCGUUCACCGCGUUGGACUGACGAGAAGUCACUCAACCCCCUCUUUGCACAGACGGGAGGCGAGGACUCAGACAACAGUGCAUCACGCGGCGUUCUAUUAGGUAAGCACUGGUGAUCCCUUUACACCAAGA